rnacentral:lncRNA from 10 species
UAUAACUUUACAGGGAUUAUCUAAUUCAUUACUGAAACAACAUUGUGAUUUCCAUUUCGCAAGUGGGGAACCCUGUCCAGAGAACUUAUUUCUCAGAGAACCAAGUGUUAAGGAAUGUCAGGGAAGGAAGAAGGCAGCCAGCCAGGAAGGGGAGGUCCUGGCCUGAGCACGCCAGGCACAGAGGGAUAGAGGGUAGGGAGGAAACUGCACCUGUCUCCAACCCUCGACCCCAGCCCCGAAACACGACAUUGGCUGAAACAGAUUAAAAGCAUAAAAUGGCCCAAAGAAAUGGGAGAAGGUUGGCCUCUGGUCGGGCAAACAUGAGGGCAUGAAGAUAUAUAAUGUCCCACACGGGAGGAAACCCUUGCCGGGCCCCUCAGGAUUUAUAACAAGCUCACCUGAAGGAGAAACUUCAGGGGCACUUACACCAUCAGAUACCUAGAAAGGAGCUGUCAUUUCCUCACUGAAGAGUUUGCAAGCAGAUGGUAAAAGGGGUUUAAUUUGAAAACACUGAAACAUCGUGUUCGCUCAAAACC